AUGUCCAGACCUGCCUUUUUUUUUUCUCCCGCUGCAGGAACCACUGUAGGGUCUGGUUUCUUAACUAAAAAUAAUGAUAUUGCAAUGAACUUCCCCUCGUCCGUUUUUCUGGGGUGCACCUGGUUCGCAGAGCCUAACCUCCCUGGAGGAAGUAGGCGAGGUAAAGCUCACUGGUCGUUUACUUGUGUGCUCAGCCGCCUGCUGACCCGUGGGCUGUGGGGCACACCACUGUUUCUCCGGGCAGCGAAGACUUCAGGCAGUGCCGGCAGUGCGGCGUUUCGGGAGGCACCGAGUGCGAGACGCGGGGCAGCCCGAGGCCGGGGGCACGCUGCAGGACGCCGUCUCCUGCACCCAGUUUGUGGCCGGCACCCCCGUGAGCCUCCACAGACUCCUGCGUGCUGGUGCCGCCGGCACGGACGCUGUGCAGCCGGGCUCCGACCGCAGGCCCCCCGUCGGUGCCCGAGCGUGAGCCCGGCGGUGCCCGGCGGUGCCCGCCCCGUGCCGCCGGCUCCGGGCGGGGUCUCGGCGCCCGCCCCGCCCGCUGCCGGACCGAGCCGGCCAAUCGCCGUCCGCUCCCCCGGCUCAUUUGCAUGUCGCCCUCCUAUUGGCGGAGCCUGGGCCGCGCGGCGGCGGCGCGGGACACGCGCUUUGAGCGCUCCGAGAGCGCGGGGCGGGAGCAGCGGCUGGGNNNNNNNNNNNNNNNNNNNNNNNNNGGGCAGCGGGGCUGGGGGCAGCGGGGCUCGAGCAGCCCCGGGGACGGGUCGCUGGGCAGGGCAGGGCAGCGCAGGGCAGCGCGCUCCUUGCCGGCUGCUCCUUGCUGGCUGCUCCCUGUGCAGUAGCUGCGUGCCCAGGACAAAACUGCCUCGUGCCUCUUCGCGCCCACCUGCUUUGCUCGUUUGUGUACCCGGUUUACUUGCAGCACGGGUGCUUUCAAGGGGGUACCGUGCCGGUGCGGUUUACAUCGUUUCUCUUUCUUGGCUAAGUCACGUCCUGCCUUGCUGA
rnacentral:lncRNA from 1 species